UCCUACGGGUGGCUGCAGUGGGGAAUAUUGCACAAUGGGCGAAAGCCUGAUGCAGCAACGCCGCGUGAGCGAUGAAGGCCUUUGGGUCGUAAAGCUCUGUCCUUGGGGAAGAAAAAAAUGACGGUACCCUUGGAGGAAGCCCCGGCUAACUACGUGCCAGCAGCCGCGGUAAUACGUAGGGGGCAAGCGUUAUCCGGAAUUAUUGGGCGUAAAGAGUGCGUAGGUGGUUUUGUAAGCGCGGGGUGAAAGGCUAUGGCUCAACCAUAGUAAGCCUUGCGAACUGCAAGACUUGAGUGCAGGAGAGGAAAGCGGAAUUCCUAGUGUAGCGGUGAAAUGCGUAGAUAUUAGGAGGAACACCAGUGGCGAAGGCGGCUUUCUGGACUGUAACUGACACUGAGGCACGAAAGCGUGGGGAGCAAACAGGAUUAGAUACCCGAGUAGUCAUA
rnacentral:rRNA from 1 species